UCUGGCAGUGGCAGAAGUUGUUAUACAAUACCACAUCGCAGUUUGGUGACGAUGACAUCAUCGGCAUAUUGUUUCAAAGUUUCAAUCAUAGAAUUGUUCAAUUGUAGUGACAAGUGCACAAUAAUGAGUCCGUUAACUCUAAAGUUUGCUUAUAUUUUCUCGAUUGUCUAACUUGUGUUACCAACGGGUGGCCCGUUACCGGCUAACGUGGUCGAAACAAAGCUGUCAAUCAAGGGGUAUUUGAAGAAAUGAAUGGUUGUUGAUGAGAACAUCUACGAGUCAUUUGCCCAUGAAACGGAUUCUGGCCGAAAGGCGAAUGUCGGGUAUGGGGCCCUUACGUCAGUAAUUCGUGCUGUACCAAACACAAACAAAAGUGAAAAGCACCGUGAACCUUGGAAUGUGGAUUGUGGUCGGUGAGAAAUUGACGGUGGUAAAGAAACUUUUGCCGGGGAUCAUAAGGAGUAUUAUUACUCGAGCAGCCCCAUCAAUUCCAAUAGUUGCUUGAAGAUUUGGGCAAGACAAAAUUUGAAAAGCCCUUUGUCUUCUGCAAUUCAACUUGAGGCAGGCCAAAACAAAUCCUGUCUGGAUCUUGACGUAGAAAUUGAUAGAGAUACUUUUCAGACUGUCGUCAAAGUUGAGAAAGAAGAAGACGAACAUAAUCUACCCUCUGCAACAUUGGCAUUAUACUGGCCCACUUUCACGUUGAUUUACCAUAAUGGUCUGGUGGAGUAACCAUCAGUGGGAAAGCAGUGGUCCCAAAAUAUUAGAAUCCCAGUCUCCUUUACUAGCCAACGUCAUUUUCAAUUUGGUGAUGGAAUACCGGGACAAAACGUCAACCAACUUCUGAAGCUUAGCCAUUUUAUGAUCGUGCCCAGCCCAAGAAAAUCCCCCAGUCGACGCCAACUCCAACGCAACCUGCUGCAGCCAGCACUGGAAACUCAACUUUCUUCGGCUGUUGCAUACCCACAAGAGCUCCUGACCGUUCCUCAAGUCUGUGGCUGUAACGGAAGUCCGCAACUUUUAUAAGACCAUCAAGAUUACAAAGAGUUGUUGCCGACGACUUGGUUCCAGACCUACAGCAUUCUGUUGUUUAAGUUGGCGUGGGGAAGUACCAGUGGUGAAGUCAGAAAUGGAAACAGUAAAAUGUGUGCGGGUCAUGCACGUCACCAUGGUGCUGCCAAACUGAAGUUAUCUUCUGCAGAAUUCUCUUGAAUAGAAAAACCCAUGAAGCGUUUUUGGCUCUUAACCAGCAUUUAACUGUGUGUAAGGCCUUUUUAGUUUUUACAUGCUAAGUCAUUUCUUCAAUCAUUCUUCAUCUCAUUUCUCCAAUGUCAAUUGCUAUUUAUUAAGUUAGUUUUAAGCCUAAACCAUUUGGUAUUCAUUUUGAUAUUGGUUGUUGACUUGUUGUAGACCUAUUCCAAUCCCCAGCAACGUCAACCUGCAGAAGGAAGGGUUCACAU